UGGGGAAUAUUGGACAAUGGGCGGAAGCCUGAUCCAGCAACGCCGCGUGAGGGAUGACGGCCUUCGGGUUGUAAACCUCUUUCGGUGGGGACGAAGCGCAAGUGACGGUACCCACUAAAGAAGCACCGGCCAACUACGUGCCAGCAGCCGCGGUAAUACGUAGGGUGCGAGCGUUGUCCGGAAUUAUUGGGCGUAAAGGGCUCGUAGGCGGUUUGUCGCGUCGGGAGUGAAAACCAGGUGCUUAACACCUGGCUUGCUUUCGAUACGGGCAGACUAGAGGUAUGCAGGGGAGAACGGAAUUCCUGGUGUAGCGGUGAAAUGCGCAGAUAUCAGGAGGAACACCGGUGGCGAAGGCGGUUCUCUGGGCAUUACCUGACGCUGAGGAGCGAAAGUGUGGGGAGCGAACA
rnacentral:rRNA from 1 species